GAUGAACGCUGGCGGCGUGCCUAAUACAUGCCAGUCGAGCGAACAGACGAGGAGCUUGCUCCUCUGACGUUAGCGGCGGACGGGUGAGUAACACGUGGAUAACCUACCUAUAAGACUGGGAUAACUUCGGGAAACCGGAGCUAAUACCGGAUAAUAUAUUGAACCGCAUGGUUCAAUAGUGAAGGACGGUUUUGCUGUCACUUAUAGAUGGAUCCGCGCCGCAUUAGCUAGUUGGUAAGGUAACGGCUUACCAAGGCGACGAUGCGUAGCCGACCUGAGAGGGUGAUCGGCCACACUGGAACUGAGACACGGUCCAGACUCCUACGGGAGGCAGCAGUAGGGAAUCUUCCGCAAUGGGCGAAAGCCUGACGGAGCAACGCCGCGUGAGUGAUGAAGGUCUUCGGAUCGUAAAACUCUGUUAUUAGGGAAGAACAAAUGUGUAAGUAACUAUGCACGUCUUGACGGUACCUAAUCAGAAAGCCACGGCUAACUACGUG
rnacentral:rRNA from 1 species